UAGAUGUUCCUUGAAGAAUGUAGGAGGAGGGUAUCCAGGUGUUCGCUAUACAGUUCUUUGAAUUUUGCUGUGUGUUUGAAAUUCUUCAUAANNNNNNNNNNCCAUAAACAAAUACUGAACUGUAGUUUAAAAGAUCUGUUCACACAGCAGUAUGGGCUAGCAAUUGCAAAAACUACUGUAAAUAUUUUUAAGGUUGAACAAAGAUGUAAAAUAUCCAUGCAGAUGUGGGGAGAAAAUGCAAACUCCACACACACAGUGGCCCCACUGGGAAGCGAUCAUUUUUUUCUCAUCAAUGUUACAAUAAAACAAUGUUGAACAAAACGAUGGUAUUCGAGGACCUGCUGUAUACAUAAAUAAUGAAGAACAGAAAGCUCUUUUCUUACAGUAGAAUUCCAGGUAAUAAAUAGAGAAUGAUGAAAUUAGAAAAUUACCAUUUGGCAACCACCUAGAGUAAUACAUUUUUCAGACAAGACUCAUUAAUGGGUGCCAAAUUUAAUUAGUGAAAUUUUGAUGAGAAAUAGAAUGUCUACAUAGUCUCAGAGUGCCUCUUUACCAAGCAUUUAAAAGUUACAAGAAGAAAAAUCGUACCUUCGUAGUAGAGAAAGCUAAGAGAUACCACCUUAGCCAAGUGAUCAAAGUUAACAUCACAAUCCUGGGACAAUAGUCUAUUACAUGCCUCCUGAUAUGAUGUCCUGAGAACACAGCAUCAUUUCUAUGCUACCUCACCAAAAAUGCACAACUUGAACCAAAUCAUAAAGAAACAUUAGACAACCCUGCAUUGAGGGACUAUCUACCAAACAACUGGCCUGUGCUCUUAAAGAUAUGAAGGUCAUGAAAGACAAAGAAAGAUUGAGGAACUCUUUCAGGUUAAAGAAGACUAAAAAGACAUAACAACUAAAAGCAAUGUGGGUCCCUAGUUUGGAUUCUGGAUCCAUUUUUUUUUCUUUUGCUACAAAGGACACUAGCGGGAUAAUUGACUAAAUUUGACUAUGGUCUGUAAAUUAGAUAAUACUCCAUUAACAUUAGUUUGCUGGGAAUGGUUAUAUAAGAGAAUGCUUUUGCAUUGAUAAAAUACAUACAGAAGUACUUAGAUGUAAAGGAGCCUCAUGUCUGCAAAUUACUCCCAAAGGCUUUAGAAUAUGUUGUAUGUACAUGAUAAAGCCACGGUAGUAAAAUUUUAAAAUUGGGGGAAUUUGAGUGAAGAGUAUACGUCAAUUAUUUGCAGUGUUUUUGUAGUGCUUCUGUCAAUCUAAAAUUAUUUCAAAAUAUAAAGAUGUGUUUAAAAGACAUGAGGAUGAGCUGAACAGCAUCUGCUCAGAGCUGAGUUUAGAGGCAGUGGCAGAUACAUUUGGCUUGAGGAUGCAGGCACAGCUAGACUAGAGAUCUGCAUGAGGACAGGAGCUAUGUCUUAUCACUACUGUAUCCUGAGGGCCAUGCAUAUCAGGAAUAAAUAUUCAUUGAAUACAGGGAAGAAGGAAGGUGGGCAGGGAUUUGGGAAGGACCUUCCUUUUCAGGCUGCAUGUGGGCAGAAUGUGGCCACCUCCAUCUCCAGGCUUGCUUUCUGAGCAUCACUUGCAAGGAUUAUAUCCAGCCUCAAGAUUGUCCAUUCCUUUCAGCUUUGGCUCACCUGGAGCUUUAUCAAGUGACUGGCCCUCCUCCUGAAUAUUUGCCCCACUCGGCAACACUGAAAAGGGACUGGUACUGUCUAUUCAGAGAAUCUUCUAAUCACCUGGCAAUGCAAGAUAUCAGCAUCACUUAUUAAAUUUAUAACCUAAAGUGUCACAUAGAAAAGCUUUCAGGGAAGUUUGAAUAGAGAACUUUGGAAACCUUCAGUCUGGAGGAGGUUUCACAUAGUAAGGUCAAAAAAUCACCGAAGAACUUGCUUACUCAGAAAACUGUCUAAAAUAGAACUGCCUAAUUCCAAGUCAAAUAUUCAUUAAUUCAGCUAUUGAUUGAUUGAGGGAUCACUAUUCAGCAGUUCAGCAAUACUUCACUGAACACCCACAGGGUGUGGAAGGAAACGAACAUUUAUUGAGGACCUACUAUGUGCCAGAUCCAAACAGGGUGAUAUAACUGCUUCAUUUAAUGUUUCUAGACACUAGUUUCUCCUUCUCCUCCCCACUCUAGCCUCCUCCUCCUUCUUCUUCAAUUGUUUGAACACUCACUGUGGGCCAGGCUAUUUGCUAAAAUAUUUACAUUCUUGAUAUUGCUUGAUUCUCACAAUAACCCCAUGAGUAGGUAUAAGUAUAAUCCCUUUUCAGGAGAUGAGGAAAACAC
rnacentral:lncRNA from 1 species